rnacentral:rRNA from 1 species
CCUACGGGUGGCAGCAGUCGAGAAUCAUUCACAAUGGGGGAAACCCUGAUGGUGCGAAGUCGCGUGGGGGAAUGAAGGCCUUCGGAUUGUAAACCACUGUCAUGUGGGAGUAAAGUAAAAAGAGAGUACCACCAUAGGAAGAGACGUCUAACUCUGUGCCAGUAGCCGCGGUAAUACAGAGGUCUCAAGCAUUGUUCGGCAUCAGUGGGAGUAAAGCGUGGGUAGGGUGUUUCGUAUGUCGUGUGUGAAAGGCGCUGGCUCAACCCGAGGACGGCAAAUGAUACUGGGAGACUAGAGUAAUGUUGGGGUAACCGGAAUUCGCGGUGUAGCAGU